rnacentral:rRNA from 1 species
CCUACGGGUGUCAGCAGUGAGGAAUAUUGGUCAAUGUCCGCAACUCUGAACCAGCCAAGUAGCGUGCAGGAUGAAGGCCCUAUGGGUUGUAAACUUCUUUUAUGCGGGAAUAAACUUAUUCACGUGUGGCUUAUUGCAUGUACCCCAUGAAUAAGCAUCGGCUAAUUCCGUGCCAGCAGCCGCGGUAAUACGGAGGAUCCGGGGGUUAUCCGGAUUUAUUGGGUUUAAAGGGUGCGUAGGGUGUGUUUUAAGCCUGCGGUGAAAGUGCGUGGCUCAACCAUAAGACUGCAGCUGAAACUGGAAGGCUAGAGUGUGUGUGAGGUAGGCGGAAUGCGUGGUGGAGCGGUGAAAUGCAUAGAUAUCACGAAGAACUCCGAUUGCGAAGGCAGAUUACUAUGCCAUAACUGACGCUGAAGCACGAAAGUGUGGGGAUCAAACAGGAUUAGAUACCCUUGUAGUC